rnacentral:lncRNA from 1 species
UGAGGACCAAAAAUUAAUCAAAUUAAAGUAUAAGGACUAAAUCCAUAACUUUUGAAAAGUACAAAGACUGAUAGCAGAAUUUAACCUAUUAAAAAGAUUCAAUUACAAAAAAAAAACAAAAAAACAAAAAAAAAAUAGAGCUUGAAAUGUAAAUGUUUAGCUCAAAAUCUUGAAUUCUGAAUCAAGCCCGAGCUUAUAACAGCUUAAGCUUGAUUUGGCUGGGUUUUUAAGCUACUGUUUGGUAUUUUAACAAGUUAUCUGGGCAGAACAAAAAGUGCUUCUUUACGGCAAAUGCUAUUGCUGCUGCUUCUUCUUCCUUUUCAAUUUUGAUUUCUCAUUUCUCUCCAUUUUGAUUUCCUUUUGCUUAAUUGUGAAAAUGUCAAGUUAAACCUAUGGCUGAUGUUUUCUUUUUUAAAAAUUUCUUUAGGCAAAGAUCCCAUGACCAAAUUCACUUACUGCUGCAUUCUGACAUGUUGAAUGUUCCCUCACCAUUACUGUCAAAUGCCGGUUUCUAAGGUUACUUCGUUAGAGUGUCGGCUAUGGUAUGUAUUCGAUUUGCGUAGAAUAAAUUAAUUUGCAGUUUUUUCAUAUAUUUAAAGCAUUAUAGCUCAUAUCUAUGUUAUCCUGCUUGGGUGGUAUGUUCAAAAUGAAUUUUAAUGUCUCUAUUUAGAGGAUCAUAUUCUUGUCUUUAAAUAUGAAUGUAUCUAACAAAAGUGCUUUAAGAAAAAUAAAGAAUUCGAAUAAUAUAGUCCUUCAUGUGAUGAAAUCUGAAUUCAGGUCAGUCAUUUUGUUUAUAUUAGAUUUUUUAGAUCAAACUCUCUAUGUUGCUUUGAUUAUUAUUAUUUUUUGAAGUACCCGUUUUUGGCACUCGUGUUCGACAUGGGUAUAGGAUAUGAUCAUCCUUGGACAUAGCUAACUGACCAUCCUUUGUUGAAAACAUUGGCAUUUGGUUCUUAAAGCAUCAAUGGAGACUGUAGACUUCUACAUAAGAUUGUUGCAGCCCUUAAGCUGUUCUAGUUGUUCUGUAGGAUGUUAAUAUUACAAGCUUGACAAGUAGUGGAAUUCUUGAAGACCCUCUUAGUUAGAUACAUAUAUGGAACUUUCCUUUUACAAGUACAAAUUAUAUACAUAUAGACAUACAUACAUAUAUAUACAUAUACAUAUACAUAUACAUAUACAUAUACAUAUACAUAUACAUAUACAUAUACAUAUACAUAUACAUAUAGGCCUUAUCAUUCAUAUAACAACUGCUGGCGAAGUGUUAAAACAGGCCAUCCGAGUGAAGUAGAAUUUUCGUGUUCCGAAGUUGCUUAGCUAGUUGUGGAAUGCUUGUGCCAUAUAUGAACUCUUGUUGUAAAAGAGUUCAAGAAAAAGCAAGGAUCAAAAGUAUAUUAAAUGUAGAAUCAGUAUCGGGUCAGAUCAGAUCGGACUCUCUUGGCCUUGUUUGCUACGUACAUACAUCAUUAGCGUGAUUCUAAACAGUUCAACUUGCUCAUUCUUUUGCAGCCUUAUCUUAUUCAACAUCCUGUUCUAGCCAGUCGGGCCUAAGGUUUCUGGUGGUUGAUAGGUCGCUUAACAAUGGUGUAUAUGAUUCUCAAUCUCUUGAGGUAACUGAAGAAGGGUGUGUUGGAAACAGGUAUAAGCUUCACAAACCAAGCAAUUGGCCAUGAAAAUGCUGCAAGUAAUAUACAAACUCCCCAUUGCCAUAGUUUCAACUGCUCUGUAUCUGCAAACUUCUUCAAGAAUUCCACCAUAACCACCUGAAGAACGAUGGUUACUCCAAUAAUCCCGAGAAAUAAUCGGUUCUUAAGAAUGCCUUCGAAAACAUUUUGCUUCUCCAACUUCCUUGCGUUGAACUCGUUAAAAACUUGGCAUAGAACGAAAGUAUUGAAUAUCAGUGUGUCCUUUACCGUCUCAGGCACGUUGACUAUUGAUUCGCCCCUGAAUUGUAAGAUCAAGAGAAUAGCUAUCUGGUAUAAGGCUUGAGCUAAGAGAUUCCUC